GCGCACUAGGUCGAAGAGGAUGACCCCCCGCACCCUCCCCCCCCCAGGAGAGGACCAGUCUUCGGUCAAGGGUAUACGAGUAGCUGCGCUCCCCUGCUAGAACCUCCAAACAAGCUCUCAAGAACAUAUUAGAACUUCCAACAUCUAUCCCAAAGUCAGUGAUCAAGCUUUAUUAAUAGACUUAUGAGUUUACAUAUCACU
rnacentral:snRNA from 1 species